GGGGGCUCAGGACAGUGGGGGGGAGGGUGCUCAAGAGCCCAAGAGGUGAGAGAGCCAGGGAUCCCGGUGCUGUGAGCACGCAAGGGGAGAGGCAGUGUCUCCGAGGUGCCCACUUCUACUGGGAAGUGUUCCACAGGCAUCGCAGAGAACACGGAAAGUGGACAUUGGCUGCCACCGACCCUCAUCCCUUCCACCCAGGGCCCCAGCUCCCUGAUGCCACCAUGGGGUCCCUCCCCGCCCUCACCCCUCUCCUGCCUUCCGCCACACCCUCCCCUUCCCACGGACCUUUUGCAGGACUCAGUUCAGGAGUGGAUGCCUUGCCAAGAGCCCGCCCCUCCUUCCUGUCUUCUCAGUCUCUCUCUCUCACACACACACACACGGAGGAAACUGAGUUUGCUCUGGAAGGCCUGGGAGCCUGCUGGGGUGGCCAGAGACCAGGGAUAUGCCAGCCCUUGGGAGCCGGGAGCCUGGAUAAAGCCCACGGGGGACAGAGAGCAAAAGGCCUGGGACAUUGGCCACCCCCACCAUCUACUGAAAUCCGCCCAUUGUAAACCUUCUCCAGCAGCCACCUCCCUUCCUCACUUCGAGCACAUGCAGAGGGUCAGGCCAGCUCCAGGGGGUGUUGGGGAGUAGUGGGGAGCAGGGAAGAGCCAGCAGUGGGAGUGGUCCCAUCCAGAGGAGGACCAGCUCUUCUGGUAUGCCUUCAUCUGUCUCCAGGCAGUUCCCAAGCUCUGAGGAAGGCAGUGACCACACCCUAGAGCCCCACACACCCCUCCACCCCCACAGAUUUGCCCCAACCUCUCAAACCAGCUCCUCAAGCUCUGGGUAGCGUGCUCCACCAGGGCCAGCCAGCCAAUUCCAAGUUGAGCCAAAGAAUCUAGCCUGGUAGUGCCUGGGCACCUCCACCCACGGCCUCCCUGGGACUUGGAUGACCCAGGAGAUCCUCCAGCCCGUUCCCUGCCCCUGUUCUGCUGCUGGCCCUCCUCCUCCACAAGUCUUCCGUGGUUGACUCUCUCGUGGCCCACCCGGAACCCUGGACCGGUGCCCUGAACCCAGUCUGGCGCCCUGAACCCAACUCUGUGGGGUUGGCUCUCCAAGGAGGGCCCAGAGCAGCGCCCCUGAAUCACUGCUAAGGGUCCCAGAUCAGCAGCAUGAAGCCCCACAUGACUUCUCUGGCUCCCUAUGUGUCCCUGUUUGAUGACCAACAUCCCGGCAUAUACUCUCUUGAGGUCAAGGCUUGAGAGAGGGGCUCACACACCCUCCCUUUCAGACGAGACCCUGUGUCCUAUGCUAACCCAGCUCUGAGGGUCCUAGGUCCUCUCCCUCCCUGCCCUACCCCACCUCUUUCCUACCACAGCUCACAGCUCAGAGCAAGGAGGUACCCCCCAAGCCGGGGGUGCCCUUCCGCUCCCCACUCUGCACUCUCUACCUACUGUGCGCUGGCCCAAGCCCAUCAUCCCUUUGGGCCCAGGAGAAGGAAGCUUCCCCUUUCAGCUUUGGAAAGGAAGUGAGUGCCACACCCAGCCCCAGGGAUUUUCCUUCUGGGGGCAGAGGAAGAGAGGGAAAAGGAAGCAGAAUCUGUUCCCCUACUUUAGAUGCAGCAUCGGCAUCGAGGCCUGAAAACGCCUUCCAA
rnacentral:lncRNA from 12 species